rnacentral:rRNA from 1 species
GGAAUUUUGCGCAAUGGGGGAAACCCUGACGCAGCCAUGCCGCGUGGAUGAUGAAGGUCUUAGGAUUGUAAAAUCCUUUCACCGGUGAAGAUAAUGACUGUAGCCGGAGGAGAAGCCCCGGCUAACUUCGUGCCAGCAGCCGCGGUAAUACGAAGGGGGCUAGCGUUGCUCGGAAUUACUGGGCGUAAAGGGAGCGUAGGCGGACAUUUAAGUCAGGGGUGAAAUCCCAGAGCUCAACUCUGGAACUGCCUUUGAUACUGGGUGUCUUGAGUGUGAUAGAGGUAUGUGGAACUCCGAGUGUAGAGGUGAAAUUCGUAGAUAUUCGGAAGAACACCAGUGGCGAGGGCGACAUACUGGAUCAUUACUGGCGCUGAGGCUCGAAAGCGUGGGGAGCAAAC